AACGGCGGUGGACGACAGCGGCUACCGACCGCGCCGCUGUAUCGUACGCCGAUUUUUUCUGCGCGCUGUGAUGGCGGCGGUAGCGCGGUCAGUUUGGUUACAGUUACAGUGUUCUAGAAGUUAUAGUGUACUAGCUUGGUGUUGUGGUGUUGUCUAUAAGUGUUCUGUGGUGUUGUCAACGCCCGUGGGUGUUGUGUAAAUGGGUGCGCGUUAUCGCGCGACGCCGGCACGGCCCAUCGCUUUGCUCGCGCAUAUUGCGAACGUGGGAUCUUCGAAGUCUGUGGCAGACGGGAGCGGCGAAGAAUGUGAACCAUCGAUCGUGGACUCAGCCCAACGGUACGAUGCGUGGUACCAAAGGUCAUGUCCUGAAAAGUACAAUGGUGCAAGGGUACCCAAAUUUCUACAAGUGUUCUACAACGAUGCAGUGAGACCCCAAGAAAAGGUUUUCGCUUGGCACUGGAUACACCUGCAUGGGUACAUAUCACCCUUGGCCUACCGUGAUCAGGAUCUUAAGUGCUUGGAUAUAUAACUGGAGCAAGACAAGUGGCGGCGGAAGAUGUACAGUCACUCUCAAUAUGACUUGCAUCACGGGAGCGCGUGGUAUCAUGAGUUCAAAGACUGGCCAUGGCUUCCACUAGCCCUUAUUUCCAUAACUAAAUGCUGUUCUCGCACUCGGGGAUGAUUCCAAAUAAGAAAAUAUAAUUUAGUUGCUGAAAUGAAUACACGUUGAACCCAUGCGCAAUCUUUGAACUCAUGAGGCCACACGCUCCCGUAUUGCAAGUCAUACUGAGUGGAAAAAAGAUUCUGCUAAAAGAUUCUACAUAAAAGUGGAAAAGUGA